CGAGACUCAGUGAAAUUGAACUCGCUGUGAAGAUGCAGUGUACCCGCGGCAAGACGGAAAGACCCCGUGAACCUUUACUAUAGCUUGACACUGAACAUUGAGCCUUGAUGUGUAGGAUAGGUGGGAGGCUUUGAAGUGUGGACGCCAGUCUGCAUGGAGCCGACCUUGAAAUACCACCCUUUAAUGUUUGAUGUUCUAACGUUGACCCGUAAUCCGGGUUGCGGACAGUGUCUGGUGGGUAGUUUGACUGGGGCGGUCUCCUCCUAAAGAGUAACGGAGGAGCACGAAGGUUGGCUAAUCCUGGUCGGACAUCAGGAGGUUAGUGCAAUGGCAUAAGCCAGCUUGACUGCGAGCGUGACGGCGCGAGCAGGUGCGAAAGCAGGUCAUAGUGAUCCGGUGGUUCUGAAUGGAAGGGCCAUCGCUCAACGGAUAAAAGGUACUCCGGGGAUAACAGGCUGAUACCGCCCAAGAGUUCAUAUCGACGGCGGUGUUUGGCACCUCGAUGUCGGCUCAUCACAUCCUGGGGCUGAAGUAGGUCCCAAGGGUAUGGCUGUUCGCCAUUUAAAGUGGUACGCGAGCUGGGUUUAGAACGUCGUGAGACAGUUCGGUCCCUAUCUGCCGUGGGCGCUGGAGAACUGAGGGGGGCUGCUCCUAGUACGAGAGGACCGGAGUGGACGCAUCACUGGUGUUCGGGUUGUCAUGCCAAUGGCACUGCCCGGUAGCUAAAUGCGGAAGAGAUAAGUGCUGAAAGCAUCUAAGCACGAAACUUGCC
rnacentral:rRNA from 1 species